AUUCCGUGAUGAGGGCAUCUUCGUAAUAGUUUUUUAAACAUUUCCUACUCCUUAUACAAGGACUCAUCAUCCAUUUGUUGGAAGGUAGUGAUCUCAUUCCUCAACUU
rfam:Gossypium hirsutum cultivar TM-1 chromosome 14, whole genome shotgun sequence